AUGAACGCUAGCGGCAGGCUUAACACAUGCAAGUCGAGGGGUAUAGUAGCAAUACUAGAGACCGGCGCACGGGUGCGUAACGCGUAUGCAAUCUACCUUUUACAAAGGGAUAGCCCAGAGAAAUUUGGAUUAAUACCUUAUAGUAUUAUGAACUGGCAUCGGUUUAUGAUUAAAGAUUUAUCGGUAAAAGAUGAGCAUGCGUCCUAUUAGCUAGAUGGUAAGGUAACGGCUUACCAUGGCAACGAUAGGUAGGGGUCCUGAGAGGGAGAUCCCCCACACUGGUACUGAGACACGGACCAGACUCCUACGGGAGGCAGCAGUGAGGAAUAUUGGACAAUGGGCGCAAGCCUGAUCCAGCCAUGCCGCGUGCAGGAUGACGGUCCUAUGGAUUGUAAACUGCUUUUAUACGGGAAGAAACCCUCGAACGUGUUCGAGAUUGACGGUACCGUAAGAAUAAGGAUCGGCUAACUCCGU
rnacentral:rRNA from 1 species